CCUACGGGUGGCAGCAGUGGGGAAUAUUGCACAAUGGGCGAAAGCCUGAUGCAGCAACGCCGCGUGCGCGAUGAAGGCCCUCUGGUCGUUAAGCUCUGUCCUUAAGGAAGAUAAUGACGGUACUUGUGGAGGAAGCCCCGGCAAACUACGUGCCAGCAGCCGCGGUAACACGUAGGGGGCUAGCGUUAUCCGGAAUUACUGGGCGUAAAGGGUGCGUAGGUGGUUUCUUAAGUCAGAGGGGAAAGGCUACGGCUCAACCGUAGUAAGCCUUUGAAACUGGGGAACUUGAGUGCAGGAGAGGAAAGUGGAAUUCCUGGGGUAGCGGUGAAAUGCGUAGAUAUUAGGAGGAACACCAGUUGCGAAGGCAGCUCUCUGGACUGUAACUGACACUGAGGCACGAAAGCGUGGGGAGCAAACAGGAUUAGAUACCCCAGUAGUC
rnacentral:rRNA from 1 species